rnacentral:rRNA from 1 species
ACUCCUACGGGAGGCAGCAGUGGGGAAUAUUGCACAAUGGGCGCAAGCCUGAUGCAGCCAUGCCGCGUGUAUGAAGAAGGCCUUCGGGUUGUAAAGUACUUUCAGCGGGGAGGAAGGCAAUACGGUUAAUAACCGUGUUGAUUGACGUUACCCGCAGAAGAAGCACCGGCUAACUCCGUGCCAGCAGCCGCGGUAAUACGGAGGGUGCAAGCGUUAAUCGGAAUUACUGGGCGUAAAGCGCACGCAGGCGGUCUGUCAAGUCGGAUGUGAAAUCCCCGGGCUCAACCUGGGAACUGCAUUCGAAACUGGCAGGCUUGAGUCUUGUAGAGGGGGGUAGAAUUCCAGGUGUAGCGGUGAAAUGCGUAGAGAUCUGGAGGAAUACCGGUGGCGAAGGCGGCCCCCUGGACAAAGACUGACGCUCAGGUGCGAAAGCGUGGGGAGCAAACAGGAUUAGAAACCCUAGUAGUCC